rnacentral:rRNA from 1 species
GACGAACGCUGGCGGCGCGCCUAACACAUGCAAGUCGAACGAGAGAGAGGGAGCUUGCUUCCUUGAUCGAGUGGCGAACGGGUGAGUAACGCGUGAGGAACCUGCCUCGAAGAGGGGGACAACAGUUGGAAACGACUGCUAAUACCGCAUAAGCCCACGACCCGGCAUCGGGAAGAGGGAAAAGGAGCAAUCCGCUUUGAGAUGGCCUCGCGUCCGAUUAGCUAGUUGGUGAGGUAACGGCCCACCAAGGCGACGAUCGGUAGCCGGACUGAGAGGUUGAACGGCCACAUUGGGACUGAGACACGGCCCAGACUCCUACGGGAGGCAGCAGUGGGGAAUAUUGCACAAUGGGGGAAACCCUGAUGCAGCGACGCCGCGUGGAGGAAGAAGGUCUUCGGAUUGUAAACUCCUGUUGUUGAGGAAGAUAAUGACGGUACUCAAC